UUAACGUUGGCGUACCAUGCAGUCGAGCGGAUGACGGGAGCUUGCUCCUUGAUUCAGCGGCGGACGGGUGAGUAAUGCCUAGGAAUCUGCCGUGGUACUGGGGGACAACGUUUCGGAAGGAACGCUGGUACCGCAUACGUCCUACGGGAGAAAGCAGGGGACCUUCGGGCCUUGCGCUGUGAGAUGAGCCUAGGUCGGACUAGCUAGGUGGGGGGGUAAUGGCUCGCCAAGGCGACGAUCCGUAACUGGUCUGAGAGGAUGAUCGGCCACACUGGGACUGAGCCACGGUCUGCACUCCUACGGGAGGAAGCCAGCGGGGAAUAUUGUUAAAUCGCGCGAAAGCCUGAUCCAGCCUUGCCGCGUGGGUAAAGAAGGUCUUCGGAUAGUAAAGUAUUUCGAGUUGGAUAGAAGGGGAGUCAGCGAACACCUCGCUGUUGUGACGGUGCCGCCAGAUAUAAGCGCCGUCUAACUCUCUGCCAGCAGCCGUGGCUAUACAGAGGUGGCUAGCGGAAGUUGCAUUCCUUGGUCGUAAAGCGCUUGUAGGUGGUUCCCUUAAGUUGGAAGUGAAAGCCCCGGGCUCAUCCUGGGAACUGCAUCCAAAAAUGGAGAGGUAGAGUACGGGUAGAUGGUGGUUCAAUUUCCGGUGUGCGGUUGAAUGCGUAGAUUUAGGAAGGAACAGCUGUGGGGAAGGCGACCACUUGGACUUGGUAACUGAACUUGAGGUGCAAAAGCGGGGGGUGGCAACCGGGAAUAGAUACCCC
rnacentral:rRNA from 1 species